GUUAAAUGGUUAAAUGAACGUGUUUUUUCAUUUGCACAAAUUAUUAAAGACCAAAAGAAAACAUUCUUGGAGACAACAACUGGCCGUGGGGUGAAAAGGUUUUGGAAAGAAAACCCUGAAGUUUUGCAGCUUAUCAACGAAAACAGGGAGACGUUUGUUUCAUCAACAACAAAGAAUGCAAUCAAAAGAAUUCGUGAAGAACGUCAGAGAUUAUCAAAGACAACAGAGAAACGUUUGUUUCAACAACAACGAAGACAGGUGUAAAAAGAAUACAUGAAUAUUUACAGGAUGGUUACAGCUCCAAAUCAUCAUGGAAUAAUGUGUUGUACUAGUGUACUGUAAUAACAGCAUGUUCAAAUAGGUUACACUGUAACAGUAUCCAUAUGACAAUAUCAUCACGAUUACAAUAUCAGCAUGCUGACGAUGGAUGGUCUAGAAUUGUAUAAAUCCAUAUAACUUCAUAUUACUUAUACCCUAAGAUGUCUCUUCUCAUCCUGUCUUGUCACUUCUUGUCAAAAAAUCUUUUAAACUCCGAACUCUUUCAUAUGAAACCGUAUCAAGUUUUCAUAAAUUCCCAAUUAAACUUAUCAAUAAAUCUAGCCAUAGCAUCAUUUUAGAUACCACUUUACCACUUUUUGUCAGUUACCAAGAUUUACACCUUUUUUCAGGCUUUUGAAAGAGCCGAACAAUGGUUGUCGAAUGGGCCAACCGGCAAAGGCCCCCCCUGGGACAAUUUAGAAGAAAAAGAGAAAGCAGCCAGAUUCAAUAAGAAUUUUGAAGCAGCGUUCCAAUGGACGAGCCUGUAAAGGCCUACCCUGGGACAAUUUGGAGGAAAAAGAAAAUGCUGCCAGUGUUACCAGGAACUUGGAACAGCCUUGAAAUGGUUGGAAGGGGGAGCAAGAUGUAGAGGUGCCCCAUGGGAUACCCUUAAACAAAAGGUUGAUGCAGCAGCGG